ACAACACUUGGAGACCUUUCAGCCUGGCGAUAACACUGUGUUCGUCCUGUGGCAUCCAUCCAUCCGUCCUAACCAAGCCAUGAAGGUCGUCCACCUUUUCUUCGUUGCCCUGUCUUUGCUGGUCCUGGGUUCUUCAGCCCAAAUAUUCAUCAAACCGAAGUCGAAAAGUCAGUGCCGUCUGAUGAGCGGUACUUGCCAAAUCGGAUGGUGUUCCCGUGGCUUGGUGAAGUUUGGAACCUGUGGCUAUCGCUUCAGACCUUGUUGCAGAAGCCCACUCUGAUGGAGAGGCCGGAUGCCUGCAAGCGUCGCCAUGAUCCCCUCACAACAACAGCUGCUGGAUCCUGUUUCCUCCUCGCCUGGAGACGCCAUCCGCUCCGUCUCCUAAGCUUGCUGGUCAGCCAAGAAGAAGCCCUGCAUCCUUUGCAAUGACUUGGAAGCCCUUGUGCCUUUCGAUUAA